GGGGGGAGAUUUGAUCGUGGCUCAGGACGAACGCGGGCGGCGUGCUUAACACAUGCAAGUCGAACGAUGAAGCCCUUCGGGGUGGAUUAGUGGCGAACGGGUGAGUAACACGUGGGCAAUCUGCCCUUCACUCUGGGACAAGCCCUGGAAACGGGGUCUAAUACCGGAUAACACUCCUGCCUGCAUGGGCGGGGGUUAAAAGCUCCGGCGGUGAAGGAUGAGCCCGCGGCCUAUCAGCUUGUUGGUGGGGUAAUGGCCCACCAAGGCGACGACGGGUAGCCGGCCUGAGAGGGCGACCGGCCACACUGGGACUGAGACACGGCCCAGACUCCUACGGGAGGCAGCAGUGGGGAAUAUUGCACAAUGGGCGAAAGCCUGAUGCAGCGACGCCGCGUGAGGGAUGACGGCCUUCGGGUUGUAAACCUCUUUCAGCAGGGAAGAA
rnacentral:rRNA from 1 species